rnacentral:lncRNA from 1 species
AUGCAAAGUGAUGUAACAUCCCUCUCUCUCAAGCUCUUACUUUAAUCUGAAAUACAACAAAAGAGCACAAUUAUUCACUUAAGAAAAUAUACAAAAAAUAAUUCAAAUCACCCUAGGAAUGUCUCAAAUUCACUUUGAAAGAAAAAUAAAUCAACAUAAGAUUCCAACCUUGAAAACAACCAAAUUUUGAUCUGGCACGGAAUCACCUUUGAUGUCACAACUUGAGUUU